rnacentral:rRNA from 1 species
UACGUAGGGUGCAAGCGUUGUCCGGAAUUAUUGGGCGUAAAGAGCUCGUAGGCGGCCUGUUGCGUCCGCUGUGAAAGCCCGGGGCUUAACCCCGGGUCUGCAGUGGAUACGGGCAGGCUAGAGGUAGGUAGGGGAGAAUGGAAUUCCCGGUGUAGCGGUGAAAUGCGCAGAUAUCGGGAGGAACACCGGUGGCGAAGGCGGUUCUCUGGGCCUUACCUGACGCUGAGGAGCGAAAGCGUGGGGAGCGAGCAGG